UGUCCAUGUUGUAAUGGUGUGCAGUUUUAAUUUGUUGGGCCAAAAGUGCUUGUUGCUCUGUCUCUGCUAAGCUCAGCCCUCUGCACCACUGAAUUUGAGCCUCUGGCUUUUGGCUGCCUAGCUUGCGAAGGGCUUUACAGAAUAUGCCCUCUGAGGAGAGGCUGAAGGAACUGGGGCUGUUUAGUCUGGGGAAAAGGAGGCUGAGGGGAGACUUUAUUGCUUUCUUCCAGUAUCUGAAAGGCGUUUACAGUGAGAAUGGGGUUGGUCUCUUCUCACUGGUGACAGGUGACAGGAUGAGAGGAAAUGGCCUCAAGUUGCACCAGGGUAAGUUUAGGUUGCAUAUCAGGAAGCACUUAUUUACAGAAAGGAUUGUUAAGCACUGGCAUAGGCUCCCCAUGGAGAUGGCUGAGUCACUGGAUGUGUUUAAAACCCGUCUGGAUGUGGUGCUCAAGGACACGAGAUAGCUGAGGGUUGUUACGGUAGUAUGGUUAGGUUGUGGGUUGGAUCUUUAAGGUCUUUUCCAUCCUGAGCGAUUCUAUGAACAUCAGGUGGCUUGCAGGACCAGGUGCGAUUGUAUGCCCAGCAUGGGUACGCUGAGCUUUCUAGGGUGUUGUUUUGUUUUGUUUUUUGUGGUGGCUCCUCUGAGAGGUGUCUGUAGUGCCAUAGGAUCCAGGGUCAUGUGAGAAUUAGGGUUUCUCCCAAAUACAAAGCAGGCCCUCUCCACAGGUUAGCCUGGGAGGGGAUCCCGAAGUUGUUUGCUUUGUCCUCCACAGUACAUAUGCAGAGAUAUGUCUCUAUGAAGACAGGCACAGAAGUGAACACACAGCUGAAAAGAGAUCCAGAAAUGAAAUAAGGGGCAGAUGAGGAUGUGUUUUGAAGAGAAUCAGGAUGCAAAAUCAAAGAGGGAAACUUCAGGGAUACAGUCUUAAGAUGCAUUAUCAGAGAGAACAGCGCUUUGCAAACAAUGCUUGUAAAAAUGCAGCAGGGCAAGGAGAAUGUGCCCUAGGAAUUAGUGGCAGAUAUGGGACAAGGGGGGGUCUCAUCAUUUUUUGUUUUCUGGAUUAGUUCUUCUAGCAAAAAAAAACCAAACAAACAAACAAAACAAUCCAAGGGAUCUGUAGGCGUUGAGAUCUUCCGUGGGGUUUUGUUUGUAAAUUAAAAAAACAAAAACAAACAAACAAAAAAACUAUCAGAAGAUAAAUGCUUCCUGAAAAAAAGAAAGGAAAACCAAUCCCCAGAAAGCCAUCCUCUGCACACUGAGCAGGUAUGUUCUGCUCCUCCCCCUGCCCCCAAAGGGCAGGCUGGCUCACUGCCCACUGCUGCAGGUGAGGAUGUGUGAGCACUGCCUGGCUGCUCUGCUCCUUUCCUUCUACUCCCCGGGUCCCUGCAGCUGCUGCUGCACGAGAAUAAGGAGGAUGUGGCUUUGUGUGAGACACAGUAAGGUCUUUAGGAGACUCUCUGCAGAAUCCUGCAGUAAUGCAUAUCUUGAACAGGCAGUGCUGGUGGGCUUGGCGCUUCGCUCCUUUGUUUGCCCGUUCAGGGAAAAUAUUGCAGUUACCUCCAUAGUUAGUUUUAAGAAUGAUAGAAGGCAAAACGUUACCUGGCAGGGUGACAGGGGAACUGUUGUGCACAGAGAGAGCGUCCGUGUUUUAUCCAGCCCUGUUCAGUUAUUCCUGAACAACUGGAGCACAUUGCUGGACUGUUCCCUGCAGAUUCCUGCAUCUGACAAUCUGCUUUCGGCAGGAUUUAGCACUGAAAAUCAGCAAGUGUGAGUGAGGCACAAAGUGCUCAGCCUGACGGAGGCCUGAGGAUAACCAAUGCAUGGAAGUGUGGGGAGUUUCUACAUUUCUGUGAGAAUGCUGCAUUCUGUAUAGUCUUUUUCAGUAUCUUUAAUUCAUUGUUCUGGAUGUUGUUUUAGUGACCUGGAGCUUGCCAAGGUGGAAAUUGUUAGAGAGAAUAAACCCGUCUGUGAGUUAGUGACAGAAAUACCGCUGCCUUUUAUCUGCUUUUCCUGCUUUGAUUUCUCAAGAGCUUACCUGAGCUGUCUCUUGUCCAAGGGCUGCUUUUAUACCUGUGCCAAUAAGCGGUGGAGCGCUCACGAAGGGCACAGCACAGUGGCAGCCAGGGAGGGAGGCAGUGAAAGGCUGCCUUUAACACUGCUGUACCUAGCAAACCCAAUUUUCAGCUGUAUGUGUCAGUGUGGCAACUCCUCUUGUUCCCAGCCGGCAUGCUACAGGGUAAUUGAGAAUACGGCUUAUUGCAGGCUUUUGUUUCUCUUCCAAGAUUCGUUCCUUUUCAUUCCUUUCUGUGCUGAGUAUAAUAAACAGAACAGGAGCUGUAGGCAGUUUGGCAGGGGAAACAAGGUUCAAUAACUUAAAAAAAAAAAAAAAAGGCAGAAAAACAAACAAAAAGCAGGUCAGUAGAGAGCUGGAAAGAUGCCUUUGACAGAAGAAAAGUAGAGGAAGGAAAAGAAAUAUCCAAGCUGUUUCCUCUGCUCUUCUCAGUCAAUGUGAAUGGAAGCUGUGAAUGAAGGAAUGCCAAGACUUCUCUGUUUCCCAGCCAGGCAGGUGUGGCCUUCCUGGUGCUCCCUUACUGCUAUCAGAUCCGCUGACAUCAGCAUGGCCCACAGCAGAGUUGCUUGAUGGCCCUCAUCACAGGAGUGAGGCUGUUCGCUACGUGUGGGGUUACAGUGAUCCCAGGUGGCCCAAUGAAUCUGAGUAACUGGGCUCUUAAUUCCAUAAGCAGCCUGCAGAGAGUUCUCUUUUCUCUGGUGGGCUGGGUUUGGUGAAAAAUUGAAAGAAAAAUGACUGAAGGAAUGAAAGAAAUGUAUUCUGGUUCUGUUUUAUUUGUGUGUGUCAAGCUUUUGUGUACAUAGAAAUGCAGAUUUAUGAGAUCUCGAGAAAGCAGCACUUGUAUCAAUUCCUUCCCCGGAAGAAUCUAAUAACUGCCAGGUUCUCUUGUUGACAUAGGGAGGAUCAUCAUUUGGAUUUAAUCCAAACACUAAGUUUUACAGAUGAGCCUAAGGCACUGCUAGUGACAUAUUAUCCCAUGUCUCCUCAUAGUGAUAUUCCCCUUUUCUGAAUAGGCAUAGAUGAAUCUUGAGGCAGAUGUGCAUUAAGAAUCCCUGUUUCUGUGUUUUACUUGGACUAUGCAGCUACAAUUCGAGCAACUAGAAAAGGGCUAAAUAGCAUUCGCUGCCCUGCUGGGGCCCCUGCUCUGCCCCCAGUAGCUGCCAAUGGUUUGCCAUGGGGCAGCUGGACAGAAAGUGUACCUCGUACCACAAGAACGGGGCGCUUGGGGCUCCUGCCAGGCAAGUCAGCUGAGAUAAUCCGCUGCCUGCGACCUCAUUAAAACAGCCUGAUUGGGGCUGCUAAUCACAUAAAUAAAGAAUUAAAUCAUUGCAUUAACCUUCUGCAGGGAAACCUGCCCUGGCAACACUGACAGAAUUAGAUCUAUUAAUUAUUUACAGGGUCAUUUGAUAGAAAUGUAUAUAGAUGGCAGAUUAUGAGCACUUGAAGUUAGCCAUAAAUUAUUGCUCUGAUAAGAAGUUUUUAAUAUUUUCUCUUAAUGUCCUGAAUUAAAAGCCACCUUGCUUUUAUCUCCGUAAGACAGUAGCGUCACACAUCAUUUACUGCAGGUAGAUCAAACAAAUGCCAUGACCCAACAGCAAGGAUUUGUGCACUCCUCUCUUUUUGUGAGGCUCUUUGUUUUGUUAGCAGUCCCUCUUGUGCAAGCAGGAUUUCUGUAGCUAAAUUUGGGGCCAGUUCCUCACCCACUGUAACUACUCAGAGCUUCUGUGGUGGCAAAGGUGCUCAGAGGACCUGAGCUUUGCCUUGCCAUCACUGUGUGGCUAAUCUGGCUCACCAGCUAUCUCCGGCAUUUCCCACUGCCGCAGAGCACUCAGAUGCUUUCUGCAGUGGCUCUCUAGUGUUAAAAGUAUUCAAUUUCAUUAAAUGCUGCGUUGCAUUUCCCUUCUAUCUAAGGAUUGCUUGGAAAAAAUGCUCUUGAAUCAAAUGGGAUGAUAAGUUCAUUAUUUUACUGAUUCUACUGGGCUUGCAGGAAUGACAAUGGCACUAGAUAGGCUUGUUUGCUGACCAGAAUUUGAAUGUGUAUCUGCAGCUAGCACACAAAAGAUUUGGGCAUGUGGAGUGGAGGGAGGGUGGGGAGACUGAAGGGAAAUCUGUCAUUAUUUAUGGAAAUAUCCAGUAUUCAUGGAGCCAUCUGCUGUGAAUGAUUCAAGUCUGAGAAGUGUCAUAAAAUGAGGAAGCAUAAUGUAAAAAGAAAAAAAUAAAAUAAAAAACCUGGCAUCGCUCAGAAACCUGAAUGCGUAACCUCAGAAUCUCUCUUUUUAAAGAUGGUUUGUAAAUCCUCUGCCAGAUUGAGAGAUAAAGAUAGAUGAUAUUUCUCAGGUUUCUCUCCUCACCCUUCUUGGAGCAAUUCAUUCCAUUUGUUCAUUUCCAGCUUUUUAAUUAUUGAUCAUGUCUUUUCUUUUUAACUUCCUCACUGUUUGGGGCUGAGACAAGGGGGUGUUAAGAAAAAGGUGUCUGGGAGACUGCUUAGACCUUGAAGCAUUGAGAAGGUCUUUCUUGUAGCCGUCAUUUUCUCAGAUAUCGAAGCAUCUGCUUUGUUGCCAGAAUUCGCAUUAAUAUUAAGAAAUUUUAUUAUGAGUGGGACCCUCAUAAUGCUCCUCUGGGCCCAGACACAGGCAGAGAUUCGCCUGCUGUCCUGUACUGUGUCCUUUCUGAUUGUUCCCAUUCCUUAUUCAUUGAUUUGAUCAUGUUCUUCUUUACACAGUCAGUACAGACAGACUGUGGGGAAACUGAGGCAAGAAAGAAGUAAUAAUAUGCAGAGCAACACAGUGAUCUACUGACAACACUGGGGACAGGCUCUACUUUUCUUGAUUAUUUCUCUGGGAACAGAGACCUGCUGCAAGUCCUUUUCUUGGGAGCAGCUGGAAAUCCCUGUGAAAAGUUCUGUCUAUCUUGCUUCUCUUAUUUUAGUUAGCUUUUUAGUGGCAUAGCAUAUUACUAGCAGGUGCUGUGGUGUACUUGUGUGCAUUUGUCUUGCUAUACUUCCUUUCAUCUCUAUCACUUUGUUCUCUGGCUACUUGUGGCAUGUUAGAGUAGAAGUUGAUCUUCAGCCGCCGUGGUGUUUGCAGUCCGUGGCUAUGCAUUUAGAAAUCUCCCUACUAUUGCUCUGACUUUUUAAAAUACUUCCUUGCUUUAUAAUUUGCCAUUAGUUAUGUUGGUUUAUCUUGAAGCUGUGCAAUAGUCCUGUUCUCCAUACAGCUUUUCUUUCUUCAUCCAGUAUUCCAACUCCAUGCCUUAAAAAUUCCAUCUCCAGCCUAGCAAGCACAUAAAAAUGUGCUGAAGCACCACAGAUUUUGAUUCUUCCCUCUUCUGCAGGCUUGCUUCAAUUCUCGAGGAGCUUGUGGUUACCUCAGCUGAAAUGAUCUCAGAGGACUUGUUCCAGCUACAUUCAUGCUGAGUAGGAUCUCAUUCAGCAAACAGCCUCUCAGUAAUCAAUAUGCCUGCGGGGGAGGAAAUACAGAGUGCCAGAGAACCCAGCAAGGCAGUACAAGUCACAGCCAUGAAGAGCAGCUGGGGACAGGCAAAGCAAGGCAAGGCCCAGCGCUGUGAGUACCAGGCCACCCUGCUGCUCAGCACUGUGGAUAUUAGAGUGACAAUGUUACAGUACUAUUGCUCGUCAUUAUUUCCUAGAUAAG